CUGGGGAGUUGCUGGUGACACCACCCUCUGGGGCUCAAACGUUAAGGUAGCUUUUCUUCCCUGCACCUUGCAGCUCUCAUAUAAUGAAACGUCUAAAGGUACUUCACAGAAAAUGUAUGAAGUGAAAGCACAGCCUAAGAAAAAGAUAGCAGCACAAAUGACCAAAGGAGAAUUUUAAGGGAGGGGAGAGUGGUAGGUAAGUGGUGAGUUUUAAGGUUGCUGCAUUUGACAGCUGACAAUGGUUGAGUGAUAUAAAUUUGCGAAGUGGCCUCAAUUAGUAAAGUACAAAGAUUAGGAGUCUUGCCUAGCAGAUAUUGUGGACAUGAAUGAUUAAAAGAUUGUGAGAUUUUCUCAGCAGUCCUUUGGGAUGCCUGUUUCUGCAGUAAUUUUCUGGGUACUAAGGUGAUCAAUAAGGUUACUAUUGGAACCAGAAACUGCUUCACAGCUGGGGGCAAGAGAUCCCAGACUGGGUGAGUAGGUAGCUUAUGAGCUAGGGUGUUUUUGAUGCUGGGUUUGUUUGAUCCCAAUGAAUGGACUUGGUACCAUCACAAAUGCCCCUCUUCUACUUUGGGCAGAUAUGGGUUGGGGUUCUUGACAGUCAGUGGGAAAGCUACUUUUUUUUUUCAAAAAGGCUUUGAGCACAUCCUUUAAUUUUCCCACUUUCCAUAUGGAAUUCUCUUUCCAUGGCAUAGCUCAGAACACAGUGUCUGUUUCAGGGUUACCAUAACCAAACCUCUGGUAAUCAACAUCAGUAUCCUGGGAGUUAGAAUUGACCAGAUGGUAAACUAGAGUAAUCAUGGGCAGCAAGAGGUAAGGUGGCAAUAACUCACCUACUUAUGGUUCAGCAUGUGCAGGUUUGGCUUGUCAUCUAAAAGUUUAGCAAACUUCUAUAGAUGCAUAGUGACAGCAUUCUGACUGAUUGUACCAUGGCCUGGUAUGGAAACACCAAUGCCAAUGAAUGGAAAACCUUAAAAAAAGUAGUCCAUCAUAGGAAAAGCCCUCCUCACCAUUGUGCACAUCUACAAGAAGUGCUGCCAUAAGAAAGCAGCAUCCAUCAUCAAGGACCCCUACCAUCUCUUCUCACUGCUGCUACCAGGAGGAGGUACAAGACUUUUAGAUCCCACAGCACCAGGUUCAGGAACGGUUAUCAUCUUUCAAUCAUCGGGCUCCUGAAUCAGUGUAGAUAACUUUGCUCAUCUCAGCAGUGAACUGAUUCCACAACCUAUGGGCUCACUUUCAAGGACUCUACAACUCAUGUUCUCAUUUAUUUUUUCUUCUUAUUAUUUGUUUCUUUUUUUGUAUUUGCACAUUGGUUGUUUGUCCAUCUUCAUUUGUGUGUAGUUUUUCAUUAAUUCUAUUGUAUUUCUUUGGUCUUCUGUGUAUGGUCACAGGAAAAUGAAUCUCAGUGAUAUAUACAUACUUUGAUAACAAAUUACUUUGAACCACUCAACUAUUCAUAAUGCUUCUAGUUGGCAGCAUGUCAGAAUCUAUGAAGAGGUGCGUCAUCUAUAACCAUUGGACAUCAGAAAAUUCUAUCUGUUUCAUUUUUGAAUGUGAAUCCCAAGAUUACACCCAAAGUCCAGCAGGACCAACUAAAAUGUGUUUUCUUUGUUUUUAUUUGUCUAAAAUUGUGUAUAAUUUGUUUACAUAGAACAUAGAACACUACAGCACUGUACAGGGCCUUUAGUUCACGAUGUUGUGCUGACCUUUUAACAUCCUCCAGGACUAAUAUAAACCUUCACUCCUGCAUAAGCACAUGGAUGAAAGAAAAGUGGAGGGCUAUCUAUGAGUCUCUUAAAUGACCUUAAUGAAUCAGUCUCUACCAGUACCUCUGGCAUUCCAUGCACCCACCACUCUCUAUUUUUUAAAAAAAACAAACUACCUCUUAGAUCCCCCUCUAGAUGUUCAUCCAAUCAACUCAAAAUUAUGCCCUCUUGUAUUAAUCGUUUUCACUCUGAAAAAAAGUGCUUACUGUCCACUCUAUUUAUGCCUCUUGUUGUCUUAUACAGUACUCAAUCUAGUCAUCCCUGAUCUUUCUUCACUCCAAAAAGUCCUAGCUAUUCAACCAUUCCACAUAUGUUCUAUAAUCUAGGCAGCAUUUUGGUAAAUCCCCUCUGCACCCUUUCUAAAGCUUUAACAUCCUUCCUAUAAUGAGACAAUCAGAACUGAACACAAUACUGUGAGUGUGAUCUAACCAGGGUUUUUCUAGAGCUGCAACAUUACCUUAGGGCUCUUGAACUCAACUGAUGAAGGCUAAUGCACCACAUGCCUUCUUAAGCAUCCUAUCAACUUUUGUGGUAACUUUAAAAGAUCAAUCAAUGUGGAUCCCAAGAUCCAUCAUUUCCUCCACACUGCCAGGAAUCCUGUCAUUAAUCCUGUAUUUUACCUUCAAAUAUAACCUUCCAAAGUAAAUAACAUCACACCUUCUCUGGAUUGAACCUCAUCUCCCACUUCUCAACACAGCUCUGCAUUCUCUCAAUGUCCCAUGACAACUUUCCACACAAUACCACCAAUCAUGUCAUGUGCAAACUUACUAAUAAGCACUCCUUCUUCCUCAUCUUAAGUCAUUUAUAAAAAUCAUAAGGAGUAGUGGUCCCAGAACAGACCCAGUGGAACACUACUGCUCACAGAUCUCCAUUUAAUUUAUGAUUUUAAUUUGUGAUUACUACUUAUCUGAUACUAUGUGCUUGUGAUGCUGCUGCAAGUAAGGUUUUUGUUCCUCCUCUGCAUACAUGUACCUGUGUACUGUAUAAGACAAUAAAAUGACUUUGACUUUC